rnacentral:rRNA from 1 species
AACGAACGCUGGCGGCAUGCCUAACACAUGCAAGUCGAACGAGACCUUCGGGUCUAGUGGCGCACGGGUGCGUAACGCGUGGGAACCUGCCCUUAGGUUCGGAAUAACUCCCCGAAGGGGGUGCUAAUACCGGAUAAUGUCUUCGGACCAAAGAUUUAUCGCCUUUGGAUGGGCCCGCGUUGGAUUAGCUAGUUGGUAGGGUAAAAGCCUACCAAGGCGACGAUCCAUAGCUGGUCUGAGAGGAUGAUCAGCCACACUGGGACUGAGACACGGCCCAGACUCCUACGGGAAGCAGCAGUGGGGAAUAUUGGACAAUGGGCGAAAGGCUGAUCCAGCAAGGCCGCGUGAGUGAUGAAGGCCUUAGGGUUGUAAAGCUCUUUUACCCGGGAUGAUAAUGACAGUACCGGGAGAAUAAGCCCCGGCUAACUCCGUG